AACGAACGCUGGCAGCAGGCCUAACACAUGCAAGUCGAACGCCCUAGCAAUAGGGAGUGGCAGACGGGUGAGUAACACGUGGGAACGUGCCCUUCGGUUCGGAAUAACUCAGGGAAACUUGAGCUAAUACCGGAUAAGUGCGAGUGCAGAAAGAUUUAUCGCCGAAGGAUCGGCCCGCGUCCGAUUAGCUAGUUGGUGAGGUAAUGGCUCACCAAGGCGACGAUCGGUAGCUGGUCUGAGAGGAUGACCAGCCACACUGGGACUGAGACACGGCCCAGACUCCUACGGGAGGCAGCAGUGGGGAAUAUUGGACAAUGGGCGCAAGCCUGAUCCAGCCAUGCCGCGUGAGUGAUGAAGGCCCUAGGGUUGUAAAGCUCUUUCGCCAGGGACGAUAAUGACGGUACCUGGAUAAGAAGCCCCGGCUAACUUCGUGCCAGCCGCCGCAGUAA
rnacentral:rRNA from 1 species